rnacentral:rRNA from 1 species
UACCAGCGGUCCAAGUUGCAGCCACUAUUAUUGGGUCUAAAACAUCCGUAGCUUGUUUUGAAAGUCUCUUGUGAAAUUUUACAUCUUAAGUGUGAAGCGGGCAAGAGAUACUGCAAGGCUAGAGACCGGGAGACGUAGCGAGUACAAUUAAGGUAGCGGUAAAAUGUGUUAAUCUUAAUUGGACUAACAAUAGCGAAGGCACGCUACGAGCACGGAUCUGACAGUGAGGGAUGAAGGCUAGGGUCGCAAAACGGAUUAGAUACCCCAGUA